rnacentral:lncRNA from 1 species
UGGUAAAACCCAUUUUUCAUCCAAACAUUCUAUGGACCCACAAGUUAUUACCCACUUUUUAUCUACACAUUACGUGGGACCUGCAGCUUAAAUUAUAAUUGAAGCACUCCCAAACAAACACAAAGUAUAAUGUACCAAACAUGCACUGUUCUUAUGACAAAUCAUGGAAUAACUGAAGCCAGUAAAAAUUAUGUAAAUUUGAAGACCAUUUAAACUUUCAAAAUUUUCCCCUUGCUCUUCAACCCUCGCCAAAAUAAGUUACAUUUUAGAUAUUUCUGCUCCAGUAAUUAUGAUAAUGAGACAAGAACAGUUGCCUCUCAUUUCCAUGCAAAUUUUAAAAUAAAAAAACUUUUAGAGAUGGAAUACAAAGAGUAGUUAUUUGUAAAACAUAGCAGCCACAACUACCAAGAAUUGAAAUUUCUGUGACCCCAUGGAUAAAACAUGAUCAAUUGCCUUUUCCCCGAAGGCUUUGCAGUUGAUGUUCA